rnacentral:rRNA from 1 species
CAGUAAGGAAUAUUGGUCAAUGGACGCAAGUCUGAACCAGCCAUGCCGCGUGGAGGAUUAAGGCCCUCUGGGUUGUAAACUCCUUUUAUCUGGGAAGAAAUGUUUUGAUUCUUCGGAACUUGACGGUACCAGAGGAAUAAGCACCGGCUAACUCCGUGCCAGCAGCCGCGGUAAUACGGAGGGUGCAAGCGUUAUCCGGAUUCACUGGGUUUAAAGGGUGCGUAGGCGGGCAGGUAAGUCAGUGGUGAAAUCUCCGAGCUUAACUCGGAAACUGCCGUUGAUACUAUUUGUCUUGAAUAUUGUGGAGGUAAGCGGAAUAUGUCAUGUAGCGGUGAAAUGCUUAGAUAUGACAUAGAACACCAAUUGCGAAGGCAGCUUACUACGCAGUUAUUGACGCUGAGGCACGAAAGCGUGGGGAUCAAACAGGAUUAGA